rnacentral:rRNA from 1 species
CCUACGUGAGGCAGCAGUGAGGAAUAUUGGUCAAUUGGCGUAAGCCUGAACCAGCCAAGUCGCGUGAGGGAUGAAGGUUCUAUGGAUCGUAAACCUCUUUUAUAAGGGAAUAAAGUGCGGGACGUGUCCCUUUUUGUAUGUACCUUAUGACUAAGGAUCGGCUAACUACGUGCCAGCAGCCGCGGUAAUACGGAGGAUCCGAUCGUUAUCCGGAUUUAUUGGGUUUAAAGGGUGAGUAGGCUGCCUUUUAAGUCAGCGGUGAAAGUCUUUGGCUCAACCAUAGAAUUGCCGUUGAAACUGGGAGUCUUGAGUAUGUUUGAGGCAGGCGGAAUGCGUGGUGUAGCGGUGAAAGGCUUAGAUAUCACGCAGAACCCCGAUUGCGAAGGCAGCCUGCCAAGCCAUGACUGACGCUGAUGCACGAAAGCGUGGGGAUCAAACAGGAUUAGAUACCCCAGUAGUC